rnacentral:ribozyme from 11 species
AGAAAAGAUAGAAAAGAAUCAUCAGAGAGAUUUGAUUUCUCCCUCCAAUCUGCUGUUUUUUUUUUGUUUUUCUU